GGCCUAUUGAAUAUAAUUUUAGGUCGAUCUGCCCAAUGAUUUUAAAUUUAAUGGCUGCGGUAUUUUGACUGUACAAAGGUAGCAUAAUCAAUUGUUUUUUAAUUGGAAACUGGAAUGAAAGAAUUAAUGAGAUAUAUACUGUCUCAUAUAUAAUAAAUGAAUUUAAAUUUUUAGUUAAAAUGCUUAAAUUAUUUUAUGGGACGAUAAGACCCUAUAGAAUUUUAUAUUAAUAUAAAUAGUUAUGUUUAUAAAAUUUUUAUAUUAAUAUUUAGUUGGGAGGAUUAGUAAAUUUAAGAAACUUUACUUUAAAUUUAAACUUUGAUUUAAGAAUUUUUUUUUGAUCUUGUAUUAUAAAAAUAAGAGUAAAUUACCUUAGGGAUAACAGCGUAAUAUCUUUUUAAAGGUCAUAUUAAUAAAGAUGAUUGCGACCUCGAUGUUGAAUUAAGAUAAAUUUUAGAUGGAGAAGUCUAAAAAUUAAGUCUGUUCGACUUUUAGAAUCUUACAUGAUUUGAGUUCA
rnacentral:rRNA from 1 species